rnacentral:sRNA from 1 species
AAUGAGUCAUGCAGCUUCUAGCCAUCCAGAAUCAGAAUUCAGUGUUAAGCGCCCAUGGCUUGUCCUUCCAGUAUCACUUGUUUUUUGAGCAAGUUAUAUACCUAAGGCAUUUUGUUCUGUUUAGCUAAGCAGCACUGUGCACAAUGAUCUGUUUUGCCAAGUUUAUGUGAGAAUCUUGUUAACGUUGUCGUGAUCGUAUUGUUGAUUCUUAAUUCUUAAAAUCCUGGUUUGGAAUUUUCAUUAAUCUGGUACUCCUACCAGAAUGGAUUAGCACC